AUACGGAGGGUGCAAGCGUUAUUCGGAAUCACUGGGCGUAAAGGACGCGUAGGCGGGUUGGCAAGUCAGAUGUGAAAUCCUACAGCUUAACUGUAGAACUGCAUUUGAAACUGCUAACCUAGAGUAUGGGAAGGGGGAGAUGGAAUUAGUGGUGUAGGGGUAAAAUCCGUAGAUAUCACUAGGAAUACCGAAAGCGAAGGCGAUCUCCUGGAACAUAACUGACGCUAAGGCGUGAAAGCGUGGGGUGCAAACAGGAUUAGAUACCCUAGUAGUCC
rnacentral:rRNA from 1 species